UUUUCAGUGUCUCAACAUCCUCAGGCGUGGUACGUUGUGUGUUGUUGCGAGAGUACAGAAAUUCGAAAUAUACACGCUCUACGUUUGUACGUUCGAAGAUUUUUUGCCGCAAAAACCCAGCAGCUAAUUUAAUUAUAUUUCAAUAACGACUAAAUAAAUAACUCAAGAUGUGCAAAUGCUUAGCCGGAAACGUUGCAUGCUGCUGCUUCAGCUGCGCACUUAGCAUGCUGCUAUCGAUAAUUAGUGCAUUCUUUGUGGUGUUUGUAAUUGUCGGAUUGCUUGUGUACUUCUUUUAUUACCAUGAGCAAGACAACCAAGAUGUCAACAAGAUUAAAAAUGACAUUCAAGAUGGCUUUAAGAAUACGUACGAUAAAAUCAAAAAUGGUUUAAAUCAAUAAUUUGAGAGUGCCAAUCAACAUUAAAAAUAACCUUUGAUAAACUAGCUUUUACGGGAUGUGUUUCCUUUUCAAACAGACCACCAUAAUGACCUAAACUGCAGUUCAAACACAACAAAACGAAUCGAUCGAUGAAAUUUUUGCUUUGAAAUCGUCGAUAACAUACAAACAUUAUUUAUAAGCUUUGAUAAAUAUUUAUAAAAACAA